rnacentral:rRNA from 1 species
GGUUGAUCCUGCCAGUAGUCAUAUGCUUGUCUCAAAGAUUAAGCCAUGCAUGUGUAAGUAUAAACUGCUAUACUGUGAAACUGCGAAUGGCUCAUUAAAUCAGUCAUAGUUUAUUUGAUGAUACCUACUACUCGGAUACCCGUAGUAAUUCUAGAGCUAAUACGUGCGUCAAUCCCGACUUCUGGAAGGGACGUAUAUAUUAGAUACAAGGCCAACCGGGACUUCGGUCCCGACCCGUGGUGACUCAUGAUAUCUUCACGAAUCGUAUGGCCUUUGCGCCGACGAUGUUUCAU